UACUGAAUGUGUUAAGUCAGAAAGAGAAUCAUCGGCAGCAGCAACCACAGCGACGCCAGAAAGAAAAAGCGAAACCAGAAACAAAUCCUUAGUGCCCAGGUGUUGUGGGUUGUGGGGGCUAUCGCGUGCAACCUUGCCCGUGCGUACGUGUGUGUGUGUGCCCGAAGUCGAGAAGCAAAGACUUGUUCUCACUGGUCGUAUGUGUGCAAGCGCACAUGCACACAGACACACAGACAUCGAACCAACACGUCAGCAUCGGCAAGGCCAACAACAUACUGCGGCACCAAGCCAUUCAACGAUUCGAGGUAGCCGGAAAGGAAAAGAGAAGCAAGCGCGAGAGGAGGCGCAGGGAGAAGAGGCCGCCGCAAACGAAGCGAAGCUGCGUCUACCCUCCAACCCACGCGCCCCUCGCGUGGGGAAGAACGAGGCAAAAAUACAAAAAAUAGAGGAGGAGAGUUAGCGACACCGGCGCGGCUUGGUGAGGACGCGGGAGAAGGGCCACUGUUUCUUCUCUCGCUCACACCGGCCCGACCUCUCAUCGCCGCCAUACUUUGCGUGCGUGCGUGCGGGCCGACGACUCUCCCCUCUCUCCCGCUCGUUCUCUCUUUCUCCGCUAUUUUGCUUCGGCGUCACUUUCCGCACCGGUUGUCUCUCUUUGAUCGCGCUGUCACCUCUCUAUCACUGCUUUCUACUGCGCGUCCGCGUGCGCGUGGACACUGUCCUCUCUCGCAGGUCUCUUGUCGUUGGUUUUUGCUUGUUGUAACUCUCGCCUCUUGUGUUUGCUACCUCACUGUGUGCGUGCUGCUCCGCUUAUCUGUCAGGCUCUCUGUUUUCUUCUUGGCUCUUCUGCUUUCCUAGCCACUUGUGUUCUUCUUUGUCGAGCGUGUGUGUGUGUUUUGUUGUUGUCAUCUUCUUGCUUGCCUCGGCUGUUGUACGUCCCUCUCCGCGUGUGCGUGCGUGUGCCUCUCUGCUCUUUCCGUGUCCGUCCGCCCCUGCAUUUCUGUUUUUUUUGCUGUUGUUUUAUCUUUUUCUCGCUUGCUGUUCUCCGCUCUCACGCACGCACACAUACGCACCUCUAUAUCUAUAUAAAUAUAUGUAUAUAUAUAUCUACGUAUAUAUAUAUAUAUAUCUUUAUACACAUAUAUAGAUAUAUCUAUAUCUCCCCCUGCGGCACGCUGGCUGUUGCAACCCAAAUCCAUUCUCGUGCGUCGGUAAGGAGAGGUGGUGUGCGUGUGUGUUCUCGUUCUCUCUUGGUUUUCGUGCUUCGUUCGGCUCCCUUGUUGCCUCUCCUUCUGUUGCUGUGGAGCAGGCUACUCCACGACUGCGCGCGCGCUCUCUCUUGCCCUCAUCUCCGUUCUUGAUCUGCUUGCUGAACCCUGACUUCUUCUCCACACGUGGGUCUCGUUGCCUCGGAUUCGUGUCUGUUUCUCUGUGUGUGUGUGUGUGUGUGUCUGCUUGCGUGUAUGCGUUUUUGAUUUCUUUGCGCUGGCACAUUUCCGCUUCUCUUUUUCAUGGUCGUCAUCCUCAUCCCACACCUUUAACACCCCCACUGCGCGUCUUCCGUUCAUGUUUAGAGUGUGUUGUUAAAUUGGUUUCAUUUGUCGCGGGUGUCUCUCACGCCGUGCGCCCGUCUCUGUGUGCCCGUCCGUUUCUCUGCACGCGCAUGCGUGCCUCUUGUUCGUGUUGCGUUUCGUGCUAUCAUCUUUUCUUUGGUUUUCGCUUCCAAGAAGCCUCUGCAUUCUCUCUCGCCCCCCCCUCCCCAACCCACCCCUUCCCUUGUCUCAUCGGUGUGUUAGGUAUUCGUCUCUUCAGCGUCUCCGCUACACCCGCACACACACACACACAUCGCAUCUCUCCCCUCUGUCUUCCCUUCGUCCGGCUUGUACCGAGUGUCGUUGCUUUCUUGCCCCCCCCCGUCCACCUCCACCUGCCUGACUACUCUCUGCCUCUUCCUGUUCAGAUUUCGAUUCUCCUAACGUGUACCAUUAUCCCUCCCUCUCUCUCUUCGAAGACGGCGACGCUAAGGCAGAACAUCUACGUGCCCCCUCGAACCUGUCUCUGACGACGGUCCCUGCCAAGCGUCUGCGGCCACCCACUUCUUAACUUUUCCUUUUUUCCCCUUUGCUUGGCGGUGUGUCCGUCGCUGUCCUGGCGCGUGCUUCGUGGGUCUGUCGGUGCUGCCCGCCCGCCCGCCCCCGCUCUCUCUCUCUCGUACUUCCUUUUCUCUGCCAUCUCCAUCUGCGGCGUCUUUGCGGUGCCGAGUUGUUCGUCGACCCCCUUUUCGGGCGCCUCCACACGCGCAGAGACUCACUGAAAACGCAGAGCGGGAGCGGCCACACACGUACACACACGUAGGCGCGCGCACACACACGCAACGCGUACAAACUUGGAGAAGCGCGCGCACCUCUCGGUGCGAGUUGCACGCUUGCGUUCUCUCUCGGACACCCGUGCAAACGGAAGGAGUCAUCCGUGAGGAGGCCCCCAGCGCUUCGCCGCUCGCGUGACCGUCAAGCCUGCCGUCGCCUCGGCCGUCACCCCCUGCUGAUGAAGGUCUCCGCCACAACUUCGGCAGCGGCGGCGGCCCGCCGAGGAGAUGACUGCGGACAUCAUCACCGCCAUCACCGCCAUGAUGGCGCUGUUCCUCGCCGCACCGACGUGGCGCAGCACACGUGCUUCUACUUUACUGUGUUCUUUAGCAACAACCCGCCCAUCUUUCACUCGAACCGCAUUCCACCGGAGAGGCUCGGCAUGAGGGCAGUGGUGUCCUCCACCACAGCGCGGGAGGAGGUGAGGCAGAUGGCGAGCAGAACGUCGUCCGUCUCUCUGUCCGCGGCGGCGGAUGGGUCGGCAAGCAGCGCGUCGCCGUCUUCUCCCUCCUCGCCGUGCACCGGUUGCCAGCAGCGGUACUGGAAGACCGUGUUUGGGGAGCCCGAAGCGGACCGCGCCGCACGCCCUGGCAUGGGACACCCCUACGCAAAUGGCUUCUACACCGCUUGGGCAGAGGCAGAGGAGGAUCGAGACGGCGCCACGGCUCUUGUUGGGGACUACCGCAGCGCCACCGCAACGGUGGAGGAGGUGCCACAGCAAACCCUACAGAAUGUGGCGUUCCCUACGGCGUUCGGCAGCUGUGGGGGGGCAUGUAUGUUGCCAGUCCGAACUUGUGGCCGUCGCACACGAAGUGCGUCCGCGGUGCCGUCGCCGAAGAUGGCUCUGCCGGCAGAGGCAGCCUCGCCGCAGGCGUCACCACCAAAGCCGCAACCUGCGCCGCCGCAGUUUCCGAGCGCAGCGGACACUGAAAUUGUGAGGGCAGCCGAUGCUGAAAAGUCGGCGCAGGAGGCAAGCAGCGGGUGUGCACAGAAGCGUGUGGCCGAGACGCUCGCCAUAUCCUCAGCGGCGACGGGCAAGGCCCUUGGCCCAUUCUCCCCGACGACGUACACCCUUCCCAUCCGCUGCACCGCCACGCUCGCGAAGGACGCAUCGCCAACAGAAACGGUGGCUGGGGCACCGACUAUACCAGAUCACUGCAAGCCCACGCUCCCCGCGGCCAAGUGGGAAGACGAGGACAAGGCAGCGGUGCACAGUGCCCACAAUGAAGGUGCCGCGGCCAGCACUAUCGCUACUGAGUCGCGGAAGCAGCUCGGUCAAGGGCGCACACGACUUGCGCGACUGCACAUGGGCACUGAUGCAGUGACCAACAUCGCUGAGGGUGAGGCGCCGCCGACCCCGCAACAACGGCCGACGCCUACUGCAGCUCCGGCUGCUGCGCUCAACGCCUCGUCCAUCACACCAGCACCCGCAGCACUUGAAAGUAGCACCGCCAUCAACGGCGCUGCUUUGCGCCCCGUUGCCUACACGUCAGCCAGUCCGCGCACCAGCAUCAACGACACCGGCUCCGCGGCUCUGGCAGCUAGCGCGUCGAUUCGGGAGGGGCCGCCGUGGAACAUGAGAGUGGAGGAAGUGCGUUCCGCCAAGGGUGAGCUUCGCUACUACCGCAUCAUCCUCACAGCCUCCUUCGCCGCGCUUGUGACGACGCACAUUGGCUUGAUGCACUCCAUGCAGACACGCAACGCGGCCGCGGCGCUGGUGGUUCUAUGCCCUCCAUGCGGUCUGCACUUCCGCUUCCUCCUGCAUCACGCGGACGUCCUUCGUAGUGUGCUGAACCGCACCACCGAGUUUGCGAUUCGCACUGUGCAACGCUUUUUCUGUCUCCUCUACUCGCCCACGCAGAAGCCGAAAGGCUCGCAGCAGCAGGUGCUGAAGGGCAUUGCCGCGCUACUCGAGGCACAUCCAGAGGGGCUUGAGACGUACCGCGCCGUGAAGACGGAGCUGACGAACGCGCUGUGCCUUCGCUUUCCUCUCCCGAUGCUGGCGCCUGCGACGUCGGCGUGGGCGGUGCCAGUGCUGAUGCGGUCGUCCCUCUUCACCGUCCGAACGCGGUCGUUUAUAAAGCGGGCGUCGGCAAAGUCGCUUGGCCGGCCGGGUGACGCGUCGUCGAGGUUUGCGAGUGGGCCGAGCGCAGACGACGCAUCUGCCUCGGUACGGAAACGGUCCGGUGCCGGUGCGCCGCCUUUCGGGUCUGCUUGCUCCCCACCUUUGCUCUUGGAUGAAAUCCUGCACGAGGCCGCUUCCUUCGUACGCGAGUACAGCGAGGGCUUCGCGAGCGCCUUUAUCUGCGGACUGCUGUCCUUGACGGAGGGUGCAGUCGGCAGUGCAGGUCUGCGUUCCCGGCGCAGGGUGAGCAACAACGCCAGCAUCACCGCCGGUGCGACGGCGGCGACGCCCGCCGUGAACGGCCUAACCAGUCCCGACGUGAGCGGCGUGCCUCCGUUGCCGAGCUGCGCGCAGAACGGCUCGUCGCCGAUCGCAGCGCAUGAGACGUCACCUUAUUUUGCGGGUGGCGGCGGCGUAGCCGCUGCUGGGCCGAGAGGUGCGCCAGCAUGGUUGUCUCCGUACGCGGCCUACUGGAGCUCGAUCACGGACAAGUGCGGCCCACUGCACAGCGGUGAAGACAGCCUCAUCGACUUUGGCAAACCCGCCCCAAUCACAUUAGAAGGCUACGACCGCGCAAGUAGCAGCAGCUGCAGCGUAGAGCACUUGGACGCCGACGCGGCGCUGACGGCGCACGUAUCGGCUAGCAAGAUCACUGCAAAGACACCGGUCGUCAGUCCUCUGAGGAUCGAUGCGGCACACGCCGCAUCGAUGCCGUCUUACAGCCCGGAACACCAUUUUCUCUGUGAAGAGAACGGUACGGAGGCGGCGGCAGACCCCGCGGUGCACCUUCCUUCUGCAGGGGAUGGCACCACCGCUGUGCCACUGACCUCCAAGGCAUCGCCACCGAUAGUGGUCUCCGAGGAGACCUUCUUCACCCCCGGCGCCCACGCGGUGAUGGCUCUCGGUAGUGUCGCGAGUAGCGACACCGUCGCGGCGCGUUCGCGCAGCGAGGAAAACAGCCCACAUUCAUCGGCGGCACCUCGCACCGCAGCGGCCCCAGCUGGGGCACCGUCAGCUGCUGCAGCUGCACCGCGUCUUCCGCCGAAAACGGCAGGCAGAAGCACCACACCAUCGACCGCGAAGGAGGACGAGUACUUGCUUUACGGCGGCCGGCUAGGUCGCGUUGUUAUCUUCACCCGGGACGCUGUCCUGGCUCGCCAGCUGCUCGUUAUCGCGGCGUUCCUGUGGAGCGGUUACGACUGCGGUGCUGCGACAGGGAGAGGCUUAGCGGCGCGAUCUGGUGCACCAGGCAGAGCCGGCGCCAGUGGGCAGCAACGUGUAGCCCGCAGCGCCGCCGAAGACGUCGCGCUCCGUAACCAGGAGGCACAGCACAUGUAUGAGACGGCGGUGGCCGCUGCCGUGUCCUCGGCCGAAUACGCCAAUGUGCCGGUGCAGUGGGUUGCGGAAGAGUUCAGCGAGGACUGCCUCAGCACCCUAUGCUCCCGCUUCAGCCCAGAGAACGCGCUUCUAGUGGUGGUGCCGCGCCAGCUGCAGUGCCGCCGUGUGUAUCUGCGCAAGUACGUGACGGGCACCACCGUGCUGGUAGAGGAACACAGCGGAAAAGGCGCGAGGAUCUGCACCACACCAUUCCCCUUCCGCUGCUCCAUCUCGAAGCAGGUGGUCGUGCAGCCGGACCCGACCGUGACGACUUUGUUGCGAGAGGCUUGCAGUCUGCAUCAGAACAGCCACGGCACCGUGAGCUUCGCCGACGUGUUCCAGCGAAUGGUUGGGUGGCUCCACUGGCAGUCGGCGGCGGCGGUGCUGUCGCGAACGGCGGCCGCCGUGCGAGCUGCAUCCGCUGCCACGAUGGCGAAUGGCUCGUCGCUCACGCGACUCGUCAGCUCCGAUGCGGUGUGGCCGUCCUCUGACGUCUCCAUCCGCUCCGCCUCUGCUUCUUCCGGAGCGCGGGAGAACAACAAGAGCAGCCACAUGACGACGCCGGUGGCCACGUCGCCGGAGAUGCGGCUCACACGCAGCACGAACAAGUCGGCCUCCUCGCCAGUGUACCACUGCGAUUCCUCGUGGGAGCCCGAGUCCGUGGAGGAGAACCUGCUACCUGGCAGCAUGGGCGGCGCAGGCACGUGGUCGCACAGCGCAGGGGCAAGCGCGCAUGUCACCGGCGGCGCCACUGCAACCGCGAAAACUGCAGCCUUACGCGCCGGGGCGAUGCCCGCGACGUCGAAACUGCUUGUCUCCCAUGGGCUUCUUCAGCCGCCAUCUGCCUUCACCUCCGCCUCGCACGUGGUCGCGAGCCCCGUGAAGACGGCCUCAUUCAAACUCUUUCAAUGGCUCCGGUCAAGUCCGACUUCGCCUUGGGCUGCGACCACGCGCAGCCACCCCAUCCUGUCGCCGGCCACGCUUGGCCAAAUGCAAGGCGCCGAUGGCGUUGUAGGAGGGCAGCGGUCACGCCUUCUUGCCGGCGAUGACGACGAGGAGGACGUCCUCACUUAGGGCAGCUGCUCGCUGCGUCUGAAGGGCCGCAGGGCAGUGCCAGGGGGAGGAGGAGGAGGAGGGAUAGAGGGCAGUCAUGCGUACGCUGUCCACGCGCACCAGUGGCGGUGGAAAUACUGUUGGGGGAAGUUUGCUCGUAACCCCCUCUCCCUCCCCCCACUCGCCCCUUCUGAGUCCACGCCGAAAGACAAAGGUCCCAAGCGAGGGCAGCCGCGGCUCUGUGCUCCCCUGCGCGGUGCCCUCCUCGCUGUCGUCUAAGCUUGUCUGUAUGCCGGUACACGGUACACGUGCUUCC
rnacentral:misc_RNA from 1 species